CCUACGGGUGGCAGCAGUGGGGAAUAUUGCACAAUGGGGGAAACCCUGAUGCAGCGACGCCGCGUGAGUGAAGAAGUAAUUCGUUACGUAAAGCUCUAUCAGCAGGGAAGAAACACUGACCUUACGGUCAGCAGACGGUACCUGAGUAAGAAGCCCCGGCUAACUACGUGCCAGCAGCCGCGGUAAUACGGGGGGGCCACGCGUUUUCCGGAUUUAUUGGGGGUAAAGGGGGCUUAGGCGGGUCCCGAAGUCUGGAGUGAAAUGUCGCAGCUUAACUGCGGAACUGUUUUGGAAACUGGCGAACUAGAGUGCGGGAGGGGUAAGCGGAAUUCCUAGUGUAGCGGUGAAAUGCGUAGAUAUUAGGAGGAACACCGGUGGCGAAGGCGGCUUACUGGACCGUAACUGACGUUGAGGCUCGAAAGCGUGGGGAGCAAACAGGAUUAGAUACCCCUGUAGUC
rnacentral:rRNA from 1 species